rnacentral:rRNA from 1 species
AUACAGAGGUGGCGAACGUUGUUCGGAUUUACUGGGCGUAAAGGGUCCGCAGGCGGCUCGGUGUGUCAGAUGUGAAAGCCCACGGCUUAACUGUGGAAUUGCAUUUGAAACUGCCGGGCUAGAGUACUGGAGGGGAGAAGGGAACACUUGGUGUAGCGGUGAAAUGCGUAGAUAUCAAGUGGAACACCGGAGGCGAAGGCGCUUCUCUGGACAGAUACUGACGCUCAUGGACGAAAGCUUGGGUAGCGAAAGGGAUUAGAAACCCUAGUAGUCCC